UCUGGAGAAGAUUACUGGCUUCUUGCAAAUCAGUGGAACAGAGGCUGGGGUGAUGAUGGCUACUUCAAGAUCAUACGAGGCGUCAACGAAUGUGGCA